GAUUUCUGGUUUAAUGCACCUGGCCCGCGGCCACUAGGCUUGUGAGUGCCGGCGCGCGUUUACCAUCCUUCUAGAAAACGUUUCUGCCAUUAACUUGGUUGGGAAUGCGAUCUAGAUCUUUUACUUUGAAAAAAUUAGAGUGUUUAAAGCAGGCUUUUGCUAUGAAUACAUGUCAAAUCAAGCCGCAGGCUCCACCGGUAAGUUUUCCCGUGUUGAGUAGCAUGGAAUAAUAAUCUAGGACUUCGGUUCUAUUUUGUUGGUUUCUAUAACUGAAGUAAUGAUUGAUAGGGAUAGUUGGGGGUGCUAGUAUUGGCCGGCCAGAGGUGAAAUUCUUGGAUUCGGUCAAGACUAACUUAUGCGAAAGCAUU
rnacentral:rRNA from 1 species